rnacentral:rRNA from 1 species
AUUGAACGCUGGCGGCAGGCCUAACACAUGCAAGUCGAGCGGAAACGAGAAGUAGCUUGCUACUUCGGCGUCGAGCGGCGGACGGGUUAGUAAUGCCUAGGAAAUUGCCCUGAUGUGGGGGAUAACCAUUGGAAACGAUGGCUAAUACCGCAUAAUGCCUUUGGGCCAAAGAGGGGGACCUUCGGGCCUCUCGCGUCAGGAUAUGCCUAGGUGGGAUUAGCUAGUUGGUGAGGUAAUGGCUUACCAAGGCGACGAUCCCUAGCUGGUCUGAGAGGAUGAUCAGCCACACUGGAACUGAGACACGGUCCAGACUCCUACGGGAGGCAGCAGUGGGGAAUAUUGCACAAUGGGCGCAAGCCUGAUGCAGCCAUGCCGCGUGUAUGAAGAAGGCCUUCGGGUUGU